rnacentral:lncRNA from 1 species
UAAAUCAAUUCUAAAGCUGGAAGAUUCAGCUGAAGGGCAAAAGGGUAAAAGCAACUCUGCAGAGUAUGCAAAAGCAGUGAUAUUGUCAGUCUGGUAAAGAGAAGACUGCUUAAUCCUGCAGAAGUACCUCAGCCUACAUCAGCAAUCACAGGAGCUUUAAUGCACAGAACAAGGCUAAGAAGGAAAUCUGCAAAUCACUGAAGCAGACCUGUGAUACUGAGAGUACCUGAAUGUCAGAAAAAUAGUAAUCUUAUAAAAGAAGAUAUAGUCUUGUAGAAAGAAGAUAAAACCUCAUGCAUUCACAAUUGGUCGAAUAUUUAUUUAAGCAUGUUUGGAAAUGUUUAUAUGAAAAAUGAAUAAUUGGUGUUAUCAGUAGGCCCAUCUUUACAGUUGUGACUUCGAAAAUAUAUUUUUGUGUACUUAAUUGAAUGCCCACAAUGUAAUGAUUGUUUUAAAUAUUAAUG